UACGGGGGGGGGCAAGCGUUUGUUCGGAAUUACUGGGCGUAAAGGGCUCGUAGGCGGCCAACUAAGUCAGACGUGAAAAUCCCUCGGCUUAACCGGGGAACUGCGUCUGAUACUGGAAGGCUUGAAUCCGGGAGAGGGAUGCGGAAUUCCAGGUGUAGCGGUGAAAUGCGUAGAUAUCUGGAGGAACACCGGUGGCGAAGGCGGCAUCCUGGACCGGCAUUGACGCUGAGGCGCGAAAGCCAGGGGAGCAAACGGG
rnacentral:rRNA from 1 species